AGAACAAUGUACAACUCUUAUCGAUAAGCCAUUGGAGGGCAAGUCUGGUGCCAGCAGCCGCGGUAAUUCCAGCUCCAAUAGCGUAUAUUAACGUUGUUGCAGUUAAAAAGCUCGUAGUUGAAGUGUGGGUGGUGCCAUCUGUGAAGCUUCGGCUUCUAAGAUGAUCACUACCCCCUUCCAGUAUCCAGUAGUGGGUAUUCAGUUACUUGCUAUUGUGUGUUGGUCAUUUACUGUGAGAAAAUUAGAGUGUUCAAAGCAGGCGUUUGCUUGAAUAGAUUAGCAUGGAAUAAUAAUUGAAGGCUUUCGUGUUCGAUUUGAUUGGUUUGUUCAUGGAAGCAAGGUUAAAAGGAACAGUUGGGGGUAUUCAUAU
rnacentral:rRNA from 1 species